rnacentral:rRNA from 1 species
UACGUAGGGUGCGAGCGUUAAUCGGAAUUACUGGGCGUAAAGCGUGCGCAGGCGGUUUUGUAAGCCAGAUGUGAAAUCCCCGGGCUUAACCUGGGAAUUGCGAUGGAGACUGCAAGGCUAGAAUCUGGCAGAGGGGGGUAGAAUUCCACGUGUAGCAGUGAAAUGCGUAGAUAUCAGGAGGAAUACCGAUGGCGAAGGCAGGUCUCUGGGCUGACACUGACGCUCAUGCACGAAAGCGUGGGGAGCAAACAGG